GUUGGCGUUCACUCUCUUGUUGGCCAGGACCUGGACGUGUUUCCCGCUGGUGCGGCUGUACAGCUGGUAGGUUCGUGUCAACCUGCGGCUCAUCCGAUCCGACAGCCGGCUCUGCUCGGUGACAUGGUGCUUGAAAUUAGGAGGAGACUGCACAGAGUUCUGCCGGACAAUAGGAAACACAUGUCUUAAAAGGGCACCUGGUUAUUUGAACCUACAAGGAAAGCUCCCUUGUCGUUGAAAAUCUGCAUUUUUAUUCCAUGGUUGGAGAUUGCUUGGUGGCCCCUCGAGACACACUUUGAUGUACUUUUUCAUCCUACAUAAAAAAGAGGAGCUGGAGUUUUGGAGCUCGACGUAAUGUCCCUCAUGUAUCAUCAGCAUCAGUCCACUCUGUGAUGAGAUCAUUGUCCUGGUUCGAACAUUCCUCUGACUCCUCCAAGAGGUGGGGUGUAUUGUAAAUUGGAGCAACAUGGUGACAAUCCAUACCAUCCACAGAGAUGUUGCUCGUAAAGUUCUCUGUUUUGUUAAGAUUUUUAAUCCUCUCGUUGCAAGCCCACUCUGCACUGUCUCUAUGAGUUGAUUUGUUUGUGCUGGAAAGCUUCAUGCUGAGGUGGAUCACUGUAGUGGCUUGAAUUUAUGUUUGCAUGUUUGCUAUAAAUAUGCUCUUUUCUGGCAAUCUUUGAUAUUUGCAUGUGUAUCUUUAGCCAAGUUUGUGGGGUACAAUAGCAGACCUUGGUGUGCAAUCUCUCCUGGCUUAUAGGUGCAGUGUGGUGUUUGAACGUGAAUUUUAUUCAAAUCACAUCCUAGAUAAGCCAAGUUUAUUAUCCAUUAGGAAAUUCUAGCAUAGUAUGGGCCU